rnacentral:rRNA from 1 species
GACGAACCGUCCAAACGUUAUUCGGAAUCACUGGGCUUACAGAGUUCGUAGGCGGUCUGGAAAGUUGGGUGUGAAAUCCCUCGGCCUAACCGAGGAACUGCGCUUGAAACUACCAGACUCGAGGGAGAUAGAGGAAAGCGGAACUGAUGGUGGAGCGGUGAAAUGCGUUGAUAUCAUCAGGAACACCGGUGGCGAAGGCGGCUUUCUGGGUCUUACCUGACGCUGAGGAACAAAAGCCAGGGGAGCGAACGGG